UUCACUGCUUUACACCGAAAUCCUAGCCUGCUUCUUCCUUUGGCUUGAAGCUUCUACCAUACGCUUUCCUGAAAUCCUGAUGUACCAUACGCUUAUUCUUCUUCUUCUUCUACCUGCAUCUCAUUCUCUCUGAAUCACUUGUGCUUGAAUGGCUUAACAAAGGAUUCCAAAAUCAAGGUUAUUCACUUCCAGGAUUCUCUCCGGCUCCUCUCUGCCUCAACCGAUACUAGGGUUUUGCCAUUGAUUGUUUUUUUAGGGAGGUCAGAUUGGUAACUGAUGCUACUGAACUACCGUGGUAGCCUUUACAGAAAUCUUUAUAUUGUAAAUUAGUUUGAAUUUGGGCCAAGUUCAAUGUGUCCAUUAGCUCGAGUAAAUACCCGAGACCGAUUUUAUCAAGAUAUUAAUACUGAUGACCGACAUGCUAUGUUAGAGCCUGGUGAGCUUCACUAUGCAGAAGAUCGCAUUUAGAUAUACAUAACAAUGGGAGCUCAUGAGCGUCGUGUUGGUUUCAUGUACCGAGAGGGGUUCUCUAAAGUAAGCUACUGCAUUUUUUAGAAAUUAAAAGGGUAAAUUGAUGUUUGGGUUGACCCAUGUGUUCCCUAAGUUAUGUUUAUUGCUAAUUAGUAUAUAGGAUGAAAGAUGUUGUAAUCUAUCAAUUAGCUUAUCAUAUACUGUUGAAACUUUCAGAUCCU
rnacentral:lncRNA from 1 species